rnacentral:sRNA from 1 species
AUAAUAGUAAAACAGUGCAGGAUGAGAACCACUGGUUCGAGCCGAGCGAAGCGAGACGACAACGCGAACACGUUGCCCGCAGGGUGAGGUCGAAGACCGAAUCAAUCCAGCACGGCCCACCA